GAUGAACGCUGGCGGCGUGCCUAAUACAUGCAAGUCGAGCGAACAGACGAGAAGCUUGCUGCUCUGACGUUAGCGGCAGACGGGUGAGUAACACGUGGAUAACCUACCUAUAAGACUGGGAUAACUUGGGAAAACCGGAGCUAAUCCCGGAUAAUAUUUUGAACCGCAUGGUUCAAAAGUGAAAGACGGUCUUGCUGUCACUUAUAGAUGGAUCUGCGCUGCAUUAGCUAGUUGGUAAGGUAACGGCUUACGAAGGCAACUAUGCAUAGCCGACCUGAGAGACGGAUAGGCCGCCUGGGAGCGUGGACGCGGUCCAGACGACUGCGGGACGGACCAGAAGCGAACCUGCCGCAACAGUCGAGAGUCUGACAGAGCAACGCGGAGCGAGAGAUGAAGGUGUUCCGAGCGUGAUACUGGGUUAUGAGUGAUGAACCUAUGUGUAAGUUGCUGUGCACAGCUUGACGGUAACUAAUCAGAAAGCCACGGCUAACUACGUG
rnacentral:rRNA from 1 species